AUCUAGCUGACGAGUCCAAGAUAGGACAAAAUGCGCAUCUUGGAU
rfam:Schistosoma haematobium scaffold3106_1, whole genome shotgun sequence.